rnacentral:rRNA from 1 species
AUUACCGCGGCUGCUGGCACGUAGUUAGCCGUGGCUUUCUGGUUAGGUACCGUCAAGGUACGAGCAGUUACUCUCGUACUUGUUCUUCCCUAACAACAGAGUUUUACGACCCGAAAGCCUUCAUCACUCACGCGGCGUUGCUCCGUCAGACUUUCGUCCAUUGCGGAAGAUUCCCUACUGCUGCCUCCCGUAGGAGUCUGGGCCGUGUCUCAGUCCCAGUGUGGCCGAUCACCCUCUCAGGUCGGCUACGCAUCGUCGCCUUGGUGAGCCAUUACCCCACCAACUAGCUAAUGCGCCGCGGGUCCAUCUGUAAGUGACAGCCGAAACCGUCUUUCAUCCUUGAACCAUGCGGUUCAAGGAACUAUCCGGUAUUAGCUCCGGUUUCCCGGAGUUAUCCCAGUCUUACAGGCAGGUUACCCACGUGUUACUCACCCGUCCGCCGCUAACAUCCGGGAGCAAGCUCCCUUCUGUUCGCUCGACUUGCAUGUAUUAGGCACGCCGCCAGCGUUCGUCCUGAGCCAGGAUCAAACUCU